rnacentral:lncRNA from 10 species
UCCUGGCUCGAGAACCUGGGAAAGGACUGGGUGGCUGAAAGAUGGCUGGAAAGCGCAUUUAGCCAACCGAGCCUGCGCAUGGAACCUGCGGCGCUGCACAGCUGCAUAGAGAUGUGGAGCACCUCCCUUUACCGUAGAAAGUAGGCGAGCCAGCUCGAGGCACUAUACUGAGGAAGCGCUGCGGCCUACUUCCGCCGUUUUUCUUAACAUCAAAGAAACUUCCGGUAGUGGGGUGUCUUGCAUUCCACCGUGUCGGUGCCCCAGAAUGAGACGCAAGCUGAUCUGCAGAUCCCGCAGGGUGCCUUCUGCUCUUUUCGGGGCAGGUUGGCCGGUAGGGGAGAAGGCCGCCAUUGGAACGCGGCCUUUAUGUCGGGUUCUCUCAAGAGUCUAAGAUCGCACCCUCACCAGCGGAGGGAAGGAGCCCACUCCCAGCCACACCGCUUUGUUUUCUUUCGCUUAGCCUUGUUGCGCCGUUCUCUAAGCCACUCAUGUCCUUAGAUCAGAUUGAGGGGCCCGCAGGAUUUAAGCCUUUAAUCCACAGCACAUUCCAAGCACCUACCCGGUGGUAGGCCCUAACAAGGAACACAGGCAAGUGACACGCUGCCUGGCCUGAAAGGUCCGCUCAGACCUUUACAUGAAGUUAAUAAAUGUUAAGCUUCAGGGCCCCUCGCUUGUAUGGCCUCCUGGGAGAAUAGAUAGUUGCUGAGUUGUGGAGAGGGGAAGCCAGCUUGAGAUUAGGAAGCAAAUCUAUGUAAGCAUUUCUAAUAAAUUACCCAGAGAGAUCUAAGGAGAAUCUGAAUCUCCAAGUCUCUAGUAAUGUGUUGUGAUUUGUCGUUUUAAUUAUUUGUUUUGUGUAUUUGUAGGGCCCCCCAAUGGUAUAUAAGUUUCACCUCUGCAAAACCUGGAUCAUCCCCAUCAUGAGGGUGGCUAAACAAGUAAAGGUGACCCCAGUACAGAAUGGCGAGUGCUAUAUGCACAGAAUGGUGGAGACUAGGACAACUUCCCAGAAAAGGAAAAGGCUGUGUUCAAGUUUGGAAAACUAGCAAUAGAGACCAUAGUUUAAGGACUAAAAAGAAAUUCUCCGUUGCUGGAGGGUACAUCAUGAGUUGAAGGUCUCAAGGCUAGAGUACCUGCCCUUCAGCCAUUUUAAAAGUGAAUGAGCAAAGAAGAAAUUACAUUGCCCUGGUAUGCCCUUCCCUUUAAAUACCUGCAUUUCCUGCCACCUCCGGAGGUACUUCACUCUAUAGGAGCAACCCCAAACCCG